UAGGAAAUAAUAUAGAGGAAGUAUGAAGGGCUUUGGUCUCUUUUGUGUAGGUUCGACUCCUACUUUUCUAA
rnacentral:tRNA from 1 species